CACGUAGGGUGCAAGCGUUGUCCGGAAUUAUUGGGCGUAAAGAGCUCGUAGGCGGUUCGUCGCGUCUGCUGUGAAAACUGGAGGCUCAACCUCCAGCCUGCAGUGGGUACGGGCAGACUAGAGUGCGGUAGGGGAGACUGGAAUUCCUGGUGUAGCGGUGAAAUGCGCAGAUAUCAGGAGGAACACCGGUGGCGAAGGCGGUUCUCUGGGCAUGAUCUGACGGCUGAGGAGCGAAAGUGUGGGGAGCGAACAGG
rnacentral:rRNA from 1 species